rnacentral:rRNA from 1 species
GAUGAACGCUGGCGGCGUGCCUAAUACAUGCAAGUCGAGCGAACAGACGAGGAGCUUGCUCCUCUGACGUUAGCGGCGGACGGGUGAGUAACACGUGGAUAACCUACCUAUAAGACGGGGAUAACUUCGGGAAACCGGAGCUAAUACCGGAAAAUAUAUUAAACCGCAUGGUUCAUUAGUGAAAGACGGUUUUGCUGUCACUUAUAGAUGGACCCGCGCCGCAUUAGCUAGUUGGUAAGGUAACGGCUUACCAAGGCAACGAUGCGUAGCCGACCUGAGAGGGUGAUCGGCCACACUGGAACUGAGACACGGUCCAGACUCCUACGGGAGGCAGCAGUAGGGAAUCUUCCGCAAUGGGCGAAAGCCUGACGGAGCAACGCCGCGUGAGUGAUGAAGGUCUUCGGAUCGUAAAACUCUGUUAUUAGGGAAGAACAAAUGUGUAAGUAACUAUGCACGUCUUGACGGUACCUAAUCAGAAAGCCACGGCUAACUACGUG